rnacentral:rRNA from 1 species
CGCCUGUUUAUUAAAAACAUUGCUUUUUAUUAUUAUUUAAAAAGUUAAGCCUGCCCAUUGAAUUAUUAUUUUAAAGGCCGCAGUAUUUUGACUGUGCUAAGGUAGCAUAAUCAUUAGAUUUUUAAUUGAAAUCUUGUAUGAAUGGUUUAAUGAGAUAAAUUCUUUUUUAAUUUAAUAAUUGAAUUUUAUUUUUUAGUUAAAAAGCUAAAAUUUAAUAAAGGGACGAGAAGACCCUAUAGAAUUUUAUAUUAUAUUAAUUUUAUAAAUUAAUUUUUUAUUUUUAUUUAAUAAUAAAUAAAUAUUUUAUUGGGGCGAUAAUUAAAUUUAAUUAACUUUAAAUUUUAAAUUCAUUAAUUAAUGUUUUUUUGAUCUUUUUUAUUGAUUAAAAAAUUAAAUUACCUUAGGGAUAACAGCAUUAUAUUAUUAAGAAGUUCUUAUUUUUAAUAAUGUUUAUGACCUCGAUGUUGGAUUAAAUAUAAUUAUUAUAUGAAGAUAUAU